AGUAUAAUUAUGUAAAGUUUUAUAAUAAUUUUAUGUUUAAGUAUUUAUUUAUGAAAUAAUUAGUUAAUUUAUAGAUUUAGUAAUGUGAAUGAAUUUUAUUAAAAUUAUAAAAGUAAAAUGAAUUUUGUACCUUUUGUAUCAGGGUUAAUUAAUUUAAUUUAAUAAAAUUAAUAUUCUCGAAAGAAAAAGAGUUAAAUAUAUAUUUAUUUUAUUGUGGAAAAAAUAAUUAUAAUAUAUAUUUAGAAAUUAAAUGUUAAUCGAUUUUUUUUAUAUCUAGUUUUUUUUGAAAUAAAUUUAAUUUAUAUAUAAAAAAUAUAAAAAAUUUAUUUAUAAAUUUUUUAUAUUUUUAUAUAAAAAAUUUAUGGGAUAAGCUAUAAAUUUAAUUAUAUAAUAAAUAAAUUAAAUAUUAUAAUUUUGUUGAUUUAGAAAUAAUUUUUAUUAAUAAGUAUUUAAUAAUUUAGUAGUUUUAAAUUAAAGAUUUUAUAAAUUAUAAAUUUAUAUAUUUUUAUUAAAAAAAAAUAAUUUUUAAUUUUUAAAAAUUAAUUAUAAUGAUUAGAUUAGUAAUAUUUUUUUGUUAAUAAUUUUUAAUUAUAUAUGUAUAUAUAUAUAUAAGGAAUUAGGCAAAUUAAAUAUAUUCACCUGUUUAUCAAAAACAUGGCUUAAUGAUUAUAAUUUUAAGUCAAUCUGCCCAAUGAUUUUUAAAUUUAAUGGCUGCAGUAUAAUUGACUGUACAAAGGUAGCAUAAUCAAUUGUUUCUUAAUUAGGAACUGGAAUGAAAGAAUUAAUGAGAUAUAUACUGUCUCAUAUAUAUUUAAUUAAAUUAAAAUUUUAGUAAAAAUGCUGAAAUGAUUUUAUGGGACGAUAAGACCCUAUAGAAUUUUAUAUUAAUAUGUAAAUUUAAUUAAUUUUUUUAUAUUAAUAUUUAAUUGGGAGGAUUAAUAAAUUAAUUUAACUUUAUUUUAAAUAUAAACUUUGAUUAAAGAAUUUUUAUUGAUCUUAUAUUAUAAAUAAUAAGAAUAAAUUACCUUAGGGAUAACAGCGUAAUAUCUUUUUAAAGAUCAAAUUGAUAAAGAUGAUUGCGACCUCGAUGUUGAAUUAAGAUAAAUUUUAAAUGGAGAAAUUUAAUAAUUAAGUCUGUUCGACUUUUAAAAUCUUACAUGAUUUGAGUUCAAAUCGACGUGAGUCAGAUUGGUUUCUAUCUAUAAAAAUAUUUAAGUUAUUUGUACGAAAGGACUAUAAUUUAUAAUUUAAUUAUGAAAGGUUAAUAAAU
rnacentral:rRNA from 1 species